AUGUAUCACGCGGACACUCCCGCUCGUGCGGGCCGUCUGUACCCACCCGACGGCCGCCUGUUACCUGGUGUGAGUC
rnacentral:sRNA from 1 species